CACAAGCCUGUCUGCAUUUCCAGGUCUCUCCCUGGACGUGCUUCCUCUCCAGUGUAUCGCACCUUAUUCGCAAUUUCUUUCCCAACCAAUUCGUCAUCUUUUUAGCAACAACAGAGUUGAAUGUCUGAGGAAACACGAUUGAAGAAUGGCCAGGAGGGACUAACGGCUCCCAGGCCAGAAGAUCAGGCAGUGAAAGUGAUCGAUGGCUAAUCAAGAACGAAGGAGGGCUUGUUAAUUCAUAUGGGGGGAACUCUACCGUCCAUCCAUUGAUUUCUCAUGGCGCCUGCCCACCUAUUCAUCCAUUCACCCAUCUAAAAGGUAACUACGCCAGCUCCACUUUGGAUCCAGCCUCUUAUGAAGAUUUCAGAUGCCCCAACACCUGUGAAGAGAUGACGCCAACCCCUGCGAGGACUUCAGCAAGUUGAGGAACAGUCUCUUCCGUGGAGCAGCAAAUUGUGCAAAAAAACGUUUGUACACUCGCUCCAUAUUUGAUCCAUCUGCCAGCCCUACUCAACGGAUUAAAGGCACGUCUAUCAUGUGGCGUCUCUGUAAAACUCCCUCCCCUCCCUCGUUCUUUCUCUUCCUCACACUCAUAACUGCAUUUCUGCCUCUUCAAAUAAAACAGUAGGAUUGAUUUUUUUUUUUUUUUUCUCCAUAAAAGCCGGGUGAAGUGAACCAAAUGAAUGGGCGGAGGGGAGGGGGAUCUUUUUCUAGGGACAGGAGAGAACAAUUCCAAUCUCAAAGUCAGUUUGAUGCAGGCCAAUCACUCUAAAUUGCUGUCAUUGUGAGUUGCUUGAAUGAAAAGCAUGUAGUAGAAGAACAGAUUUAAACGUAGUUUGUUCAGAACCCACUGCUGCCCAAAAAUACACUUAGUCUCUCAAGGUCAGAUCUUUUCAAAGAUUUCGGAAGACAGUAAACCAUAUACAGUACGCACAUUUUUUCUAGUCAGAUGUCCUUGAGUAAGUCAAGGUUUUUCAAACUGAGGUGGGCUCCUAAUAAAUAACAUUCCAAAAAAGAUACCAUUUUUAAUUAUAUUUUUUUUGUUUUGUCUUUAGUACAAUGACAAAUUAGGGCCAAAUAUUUAAUUUUGGAAACAGCAUGUUGUCUUUAAUAUCACACCUGUUAUUUCACACACAGUAUAAAUAGCACCAUUGAGAUACUAUUAUUUUUUAUUAAUAUUUUGAAUGAGAUUUUGCUUAUAUUUUACAUUUAAAUUUUCAUUUUAGUAAAUUUCUGUUUUUGUCAGUUACGUUUUUGUUUUUUAAAACAAGUAUAUGUCAUUUUUAUUUUAGUUUUCAAGUUAAAUUAAAUGAAAAUGGGAAAUGUUAACGUUUAUUUCAAGUAACAAUUUUAGUUCAGUUAUAAUAAUAACUCUGAUAAAUAGGUCUUUAUACAUCAAGGUUUAUAGCAGCCUUUCCUUCCAAGGGGACCAUCAUAUUUGGGCGUUUUUCUCAUCAAAAAGUAAAACCCACAGGUAUUGGUCACAGUGACUUGAAAGGUUCAUUUUAAAGAGUUUUCAGAUUGAUUUAACAUAAUAUUAUAUCUUGCUGUGUCUUUGACUCCUGUGUGUGUGUUUAUGUUUGGGUCCGUCUCAGCAGUGGGACUCAAUAGAUGGUGUCUUACCUCCCUGAUGGAGUGGUUACCUGGAUACUGCAUGCAUAAAUAAUUGGGCCUGAGACAAGAGAAGCCAGCGCUACUUCAUGGCAUCAGUUAUGCAAAUUUGGCUUGGUGGAUGAUAAACCUGCAGACUUACAGACAGAGGGAGCAGAGCCAUUUCUAGGCACUUGUUGCGGUCACGAUUUUCAUUUCAGUUUAGAAUAUAUCAAUAUAACAUUUCAUUAAAUAAACUCAUACUUCUUAGUACUUUACCAUGGCAAUUUAGUUAAUUCCACAAACUCACACAUUAAGCCUUUGCUUUUUAAUUUUUAUCCUAGUGUGAGUGCCUGAGACUAUGAGUGUGUUAUAAGUGAGGCUCUCUUAUUCAAAGAGCAGCAGUAGGAAUUAAUUUUACACCCAAGCAGCAUACCUUGCAUCGCUGUUUUGAGUGAACAUUUCAUAAGUGCCACAGAAAACAGUAAUAUGCAAAAGAACACACUUUUCUAUUUAAAAAGCCAAAUGUUGAUCUAUAUUAGGGAUGCACCGAUAUUACAAUUCCGGAUGAUAAUUAUCAUCAUGUUAUGGCCAAUAACUGACAGAUGAGACAAAUUAAAUUCUAUACGAUUUUGUUUAAAUAAUAUAAACAAUAAAAACUAAACUCAAUUUUAAAUGCUAAGUUAUUUAGAAAUGCUAAAGUGAAUUUGGUCAUUAUAGCAUGUGGGUAAUGGAUAUUCAUUAGACUUCUUUAAGAUUAAGAUUCCUAUGCAUCUUAUAAUAUUUAUGUGGGGCUUACUAUAUUUCCUGUAAUAGGA